UACGUAGGGGGCUAGCGUUGUCCGGAAUCAUUGGGCGUAAAGCGUGCGCAGGCGGUUUUGUAAGUCUGUCGUGAAAUGCCCCGGGCUCAACCUCGGGGAAUUGCGAUGGAGACUGCAAGGCUUUGAAUCUGGCAGAGGGGGGUAGAAUUCCACGUGUAGCAGGUGAAAUGCGUAGAGAUGAUGGAGGAACACCGAUGGCGAAGGCAGCCCCCUGGGUCAAGAUUGACGCUCAUGCACGAAAGCGUGGGGAGCAAACAGG
rnacentral:rRNA from 1 species